rnacentral:piRNA from 1 species
UGACUUUCGUUUCCUCACAGUGGUCC